UUCAGUCGCAGAUGGAAUACUCUCCACAUUUGGCUUUGUAAGCUGUCCCGCCCAGGCCCUCCUGCAACCAUAGUAACCAUUGAUGAAGAGAGUCCCAAUGGUACCGUCUUGGUGGAAAACAUGCAGAUAAACGGCCGUGCGCAGGAUCCAGGUCGAACCAUUUCGCUGACUCUGCUGGACAACUACGACUAUUGGGUGAUUUUGGAACCGGCCCAGCAGCGGCUGUAUCUCAACAGCACAGGACGCGUUCUGGACAGAGACCCCCCAAACUACAUCAUGACCAUAGUGGUGCAAGUCCAGUGCACCAACGAGCUGGUUGGUACUGUUAUUUUCCACGAGGUGCGGAUCGUCGUGAGGGACAGGAACGACAACAUCCCCCGCUUUCAGCAGCCGCGUUACUAUGUUGCCGUCAAUGAGCUCACGCCAGUCGGAACAACGAUUUUCACUGGAUUCUCAGGGAAUAAUGGCGCCACCGAUAUCGACGAUGGACCUAAUGGACACAUAGAAUACAGCGUCCUUUACAACCCCAAUGACCCGGAGUCCAACAAGACAGUAAGCGUUGGAAACACGCUUUCAGGGCACAUUAUCCUGGCAGAGAGGCUAAACUACGAGGAGAGGACACGUUACCUGGUUGUUGUCCAAGCUAAUGACCGAGCACCUUACCCACCCAACAGGCGAACGGCUACAACCACCCUGACCGUGGACGUUCUGGAUGGAGACGACCUGGGCCCCAUGUUCCUGCCGUGUGUGUUAGUGAACAACACGCGUGACUGCAACCCGCUCUCCUACCGCGCUGCUAUCCCUGAAUUCACUGAACCGAGCAAAUUGAACCCACUGAACGUGACCCCCCCGAUUCGUGCCGUGGACAUGGACAGGAACAUCCAGCCUCCAUCCAACAGACCCGGAAUUCUGUACUACAUCCUGGUUGGUCACCCAGCCACAUUUGCAGAGUAUUUCUCCCUGAACAAAACCACAGCGGAGCUGCGCGUUCUGCAACCAAUCAACAGAGACUUAUAUCAGAGGUUCACCCUCAUCAUCAAGGCUGAGCAGGACAACGGACACCCCCUCCCGGCCUACGCCGACCUCAUCAUCGAGAUCCUGGAUGAGAACAACCAGGCGCCGUACUUCCAGCUCGCCACCUAUCAGGGAUACGUGAGUGAGUCUUCGCCGGUGGGUACAACCAUCUCAGGCAGCUCAAACCUGACGACGCCCCUGGAAAUCAUCGCACUGGACAAUGACAUCGAGGAGACAAAAGACCCGUUGGUGAAGAUUUCCCUCGACAACUACGCCACGAUAUUUGGUGUGACUCCGACUGGCAUAGUGCGCUACCUGAGACUGGUUACACCUGUGGACCGGGAGAAGCAGAUGGCUUACACGUUCACGGUACGACUCCACUUCUACCCUUUUUUUUGUGUCCUAUUCUGUGUUGAAGGAUUAACUGCAGCGGAUGCUGAUGAAGGAUUGAACGGCCUGGUGACGUAUGAGAUAUUGGCCGGGGCCCAGGGACACUUCAUCAUUAAUAAUCGCACAGGUCGCCUCACCGUGGCGCCAGGCGUGGCUUUAACUGUGGGACAGUCUUAUGCACUGACUGUCAAGGCCUCAGACGGGGCUCCAGAAACACAGCGAAGGAGCUCCAUCACCACCGUCUACAUUGAGGUUUUGCCACCCAAUAACCAGAGCCCGCCGCGCUUCCCCCUCCUCACCUACAGCCUGGAGGUCAGCGAGGCCAUGAGGAUCGGAGCGAUCCUGCUCAAUCUGCAGGCCACAGACAGAGAAAAUGACCCCAUCACUUACCGCAUUGUGAGCGGAGAUUCCCAGAAGGUGUUCAACCUCUCUGAAACGAUCGGGCUGUUACUUCUGGGGAAGCCUCUGGACAGAGAGAGCACAGAUCAGUACCGCCUGAUCGUCACAGCCUCCGAUGGGAACCCUGGAGGGACUUCCACCACCACGGUCGACAUUGUCGUCACAGAUGUCAACGACAACGAUCCCAAAUUUGACUUCGCCAUACCUGUUAACUUCACCGUCCGAGAAGAAGAGGCCGACCUUUUUGUGGGCCUUGUGAGGGCUACAGAUCCAGAUGCGGGGGCUAACGGCCAGGUGGGCUACCGGAUCAUAAAUCACCCCGACUUGUUUGUGAUCAGUGCCAAUGGCAGCAUCUACACGAAGGUGCCUCUGGACCGGGAGCUCCGGAGCCAGUAUGAUCUUGUUGUGGAGGCGUCGGACGGGGCUGUGGAUCCACGGCGGACCACCUUGACCCUCUCCAUCCAGGUCACAGAUAUUGAUGACAGCAGUCCGGUUUUCUCCCAGCAAAAUUACGUGGUGAAUGUUCCAGAAAACACGCCUGUGGGGACCGUCGUAUUGAAGCUAAGCGCAACAGACUCGGACCUCUUCUCCAAUGUCACCUACCGGAUCAGGACUGAGGCAGCCCGACAGCUGUUUUCUCUGAACCCUAUUACAGGGGAGCUGGCUGUGCUGCAGACGCUGGAUUUUGAGGACCUGGCAGCUUUGGGCAUUGGGACCUCUUAUGCUUUCCAGGUAGAGGCUAUAGACCAAGGAGGGAUCAUGCCCCCGGGGCAGGCAACUGUCACAGUCCGCAUCACGGACAUGAAUGACUUCUCACCCGUGUUUAGCCAAGACCUGUACAAAGGCAUGGUGGCACCCAAUGCAGAGAAAGGAACGGUGAUAACAACGGUGUUAGCGGAGGAUCGGGACCCUCCGGAUACCCCAGCCAGCUUUGUCCGCUACCGAGUUGACCUGGACAGGUCUCCCUACAGCGGCAGCAUCUUUGACGUGGAGGAGGAAACGGGAAGAAUCGUCACUAAGGUCAACCUCAACGAAGAACCCAGCGUCACCUUUAAGUUGUUUAUCAUCGCCUUUGACGACGGCGAACCGGUGAAGACCAACAGCACUCUGGUGGAGAUCACUGUCCUCCAGCCCUCUCGGAUCCCCAUCUUCACCCAGGAGGAGUACAGGUUUCCUCCAGUAAGCGAGCUGGCUCCAUUCGGCACCCCGGUGGGGACGGUUCUGGCUGCUGCUGUCAAUCAAAGCAUCUUCUACUCCAUCGUAGGAGGCAAUGAUUUAGGUCAUUUUCAGAUCAACAACAAGACAGGCGUCAUCUCCACAGCCAAACCUCUGGACUACGAAAAUGUGACAAGCUACGUCCUGCGGGUGCAGGCGGACUCCAUGGAGGUCGUCAUGUCCAACCUGCGCGUUCCCUCUAAAACUAACACAGCCAAGGUGUUCAUCGAAGUGCAGGAUGAGAAUGACCACCCACCCGUCUUCUCCAGGAAGCUCUACAUCGGCGGCGUGACAGAGGACACCAAGAUCUUCAGCUCCGUGCUCAAGAUAGUGGCCACUGACAAGGACACCGGGAAUUACAGCGAGAUGGCGUACCGCCUGAUUAUUCCGCCCACCCAAGAGGGCCAGGACAGCUUCGUCAUCGAGACCUACACAGGCAUCAUCAAGUCGGCCAUCAUGUUUCGGAACAUGCGCAGGUCCUACUUCAAGUUUCAAGUCAUUGCCACCGACGACUACGGAGCAGGGCUCAGCAGCAGUGCUGAAGUGGUGGUUUCUGUGGUCAACGCCUUGGACAUGCAAGUUGUUGUGUCCACCGUGCCGCCCACUUUAGUGGAGGAGAAGAAGGACGAGCUCAUUAGUAUUUUGGAGCGCCACGUCCAGGACCAGAUUCCGGGUGCCAAGGUGAUAGUAGAGUCCAUCGGCCCCCGUCGUCAUGGCGAUGGCUUUGAGCUAGAGGACUACACUAAAUCCGACCUGAUGGUCUACGCCAUUGACCCCCUCACAAACAGGGCCAUCUCUCCCAAGGAGCUCUUCAAAUUCCUCGAUGGCAACGUCCUGGAAAUCAAUAAGGAGUUCCAGCCGUAUCUGGGGGAAGGCGGCCGCAUCCUGGAGAUCCGCUCCCCCGACAUCGUGGCCAGCGUGAAGAAGGCCGCCCAGGCCGUGGGCUACACGGAGGGGGCGCUCCUGGCCCUGGCCAUCAUCAUCAUCCUCUGCUGCAUCCCCGCCAUCCUCAUCGUCAUGGUCACCUACAAACAGCGACAGGCAGAGUGUGCCAAAACUGCCCGGAUUCAGAUGGCUUUACCACCAGGAGGGAAAUGUACUUUCCGUGGUGUUUGUGUCUCUCCUGGACUUUUCCUUCCUUCCAUGACCGUAUCCUUCUUCUGUACUAAUCUCUGGCAGCAACAGCAACUGCUGAGGCCAUCUCUGCUGAGACCUGAGGAAUUCUCCAUGGAGUCAGGUAUCGACCCAGGCCAGGAUUACUAUGCGCAAGACUACUAUAAUUACGAUCAAGGAUAUGACCUCCCUCAAUAUGGCAGUCGAAGGAGGCUAAUUACACCUAUGUAUGAUGAAUAUGGAGAGGUAAUCAUGGAGGAUGAUGGGUAUUAUUACAGCCCUCAUGGCCCUGAGCUUGGAAAGAAACGAAUUAUGCUGGUUUUAGAUCGAGAAAAGGAGAAUAGCACAGCAGGAGAGGAGAGCAAUACAGAAAUCCAGCGGGACAGACUCCCCAACAGCCACAGCAAUAUUAACGGGAACAUCUACCUCGCACAGAAUGGCACUAUAAUCCGGACUCGGCGGCUGCCCCAACCAAACAAUCUGAAGGUGGGCUCUCCGUGCCGGCUUGGUAAGCAGUUUAAAAAACUAGAGAAGCUGGGUGUGACGCUUGAAGAACCUGCUCCCAUCAGUAGCAUUGAGAGCCCAGGGAAGGACACAGAAAACGGAGUAGGCGUGUGUGUUCCUGCUAAUAUGGACAUCACGAACAAGCAGUCCUCCUGCGGCUCCAUGGGAAGGACCAUCACAAACCUGACAAGUUUCGGCUCCAAAAAUAACAUUACCAAGGUCUCGAUUGACAGCAACAGCAGCCGGAGCGUGAAUGAGGAGCAAGAGACUCAUGUUGACAACCACAAAGACGGGCACACCGAGAGCCACACUGAGCCCCCAGCGACGGACGGGGAGGAGCUGUGGAUGGGACCCUGGAACAGCCUGCAUAUACCAAUGACAAAACUGUGACCGGGCCAUGGGUGACAUGGACUCUCCUCGCAUUCUAUCGUAACUGUGUUUGGAUUCAUUUCAAAUCAGAUUGUGUGCCUCAAGAAGAAUAAGACCUUCACAGAGAACUUUGUCCAGCUGAAAUCUAUUUAACCAUUAUUUUUCGUCUUAUCUUUAGUGUUGCAGCGUGAGAGCGGCGAGUGCCUCAAGGACAAAGAUUUUUAUUUGAUGCACAUUUGACUGAAUUUUUCUUAUCAUUUAAAACAAGAGGGUUCUUUCGAAGGUUUUCAUAGUUUGCUUUCUCUUCACUGCCUUGUCAUCCUUUACAUCCUGACAGGAUCACAAAGAGAUUUACAACUGUCUCCUUAUCACCCUAAAGAGAAUCUGCAUUUAACAAAGAAUUUGUCACGAUUGUCUCUGAAGAAGGAAAAGAUGCUUAUUUUGCUAUUGACUUGCAGAGAGAUAAAGAUUGUCACAGAUAAUUUCUUGUUUUGAAAAUUUCUGAAGAAUAUCUAAUAUUUUUUUGUCUAUUUUGUAUCUAACGCAGAUGGAAGAAUUAGAUAGGUCAAUGGUGUCAUCGCUGUAUUUCAACAGUGAGAUAUGACUGUAUGAUCAUAGUGUUUUUAUAUGCACAUUUGUAACCUGAGAAUGUGGUAUUUUAUGCCCCUUUACAUCGUGCAGACCCACUACGUCAAUGAUAAUUUAAUGAACGAUACAUCAGGAACCCACAAAGGACUACCAAAAGAAAUGUGCUAGAUUCAACAAUAAAGAUCUAACUUAUUUUAACGUGCA
rnacentral:lncRNA from 1 species